AUGGCCACCAUCCUGGAGACCAUCCAGAAGGCGAGGCUCCUGCCGCCCAGGCCGCCUCAAGGACGAGCUGCCAACCUUCGGCGGCGGCGGCAGAGAGGAGAGCCACCCUCACGGGCCUGCGGAAGCGGCUGUCCGCCUUCUCCGGCAAGAUCCAGCCCAUCUCCUCCGCGUCGGCCGAGUGGGCGUUUCCGCCGGCGCUCCCGGCCGGCGCCCCUCCCUCUCCGCGGGAGGCGGCUCCCUGAGGCAAGUGGUGGCGGCGGGGCGUCGUCGGCUGGCUUCUGUCCCGGAAGCCGGGGUUCGCGGGCGACCUCGAGAUGAACGAGGACGAGGGCCGCCACGGCGGCAGGGGCACCUGGGGCUGGGGCCACGUCCUUUACAGGGUGCGCUCCGGCGUCCGCCGCCUCGUCGUGUCCGCGCACUCGCUCCCCACCACGCAGAGUCAGUCCCUGCCGCCGCCGGCGCACUGCAAGCCGGCGGCGCUCGCCCACGCGCAGAGGCUGGGCUUCCACCACGCCGGCCACGCCAUGGCGCACUAAGGAGGGUCGCCGGUCGCGCCGCGCCGCGCUGCGCUUGCCGGUGCUGUUUGCGGCCGAUCUCCCUCCAGAUUCGGAAACGGAGAAGCGGGCGAGAGGCACGAGAAGAGGAGGAUUCAGGUUGCAGGUAGGUGCGUGAGAUCGGUGGCGAAGAAAUCGCUGUACCGUUAUAAGUGAAAACUAGCUCGGUGAAUCGAUGGUGAAUGGAAUGGAAUGGAAGGUUUACCAUCCUGUGCUGUAGAGGUCAACUGGUCAAGUGUUGUAUCAUAUGCUCGUUCUUUAUAUUCUUUUUGGGUUUAUUGGACGAUGAAAACGUACAAUUUUGGUUGAAUCUGUACUUUUUUUUAAUUUUUUUUCCUCCAGCAGUAAAUAAAACUAACGCAAAUUGUGCUCCCC